rnacentral:rRNA from 1 species
GAUGAACGCUGGCGGCGUGCCUAAUACAUGCAAGUCGAGCGAACAGACGAGGAGCUUGCUCCUCUGACGUUAGCGGCGGACGGGUGAGUAACACGUGGAUAACCUACCUAUAAGACUGGGAUAACUUCGGGAAACCGGAGCUAAUACCGGAUAAUAUAUUGAACCGCAUGGUUCAAUAGUGAAAGACGGUUUUGCUGUCACUUAUAGAUGGAUCCGCGCCGCAUUGGCUAGUUGGUAAGGUAACGGCUUACCAAGGCAACGAUGCGUAGCCGACCUGAGAGGGUGAUCGGCCACACUGGAACUGAGACACGGUCCAGACUCCUACGGGAGGCAGCAGUAGGGAAUCUUCCGCAAUGGCGAAAGCCUGACGGAGCAACGCCGCGUGAGUGAUGAAGGUCUUCGGAUCGUAAAACUCUGUUAUUAGGGAAGAACAAAUGUGUAAGUAACUAUGCACGUCUUGACGGUACCUAAUCAGAAAGCCACGGCUAACUACGUG